UUAAAAUAAAAACUGUCAAAGAAAAUUUUUCAACAUAACAUUAAAAUAAAAUACUUAUAUUAUUAUAAUAAAAAAUAACAACAAGUUUAGCGUUUAGUUCAUUAGUUUUAUCUAUAGAUUAAUUUUCAUUCUGUAAAACGUUUUUAUUGUUUAUCCAAUUUGUUCCGAAAUAUCUGUUGCUUUUGACAUUUAUAAAAAGAUGGCGACGUGUGUGACGCGCACGGUAUGGCGUGCAUCGGCCGCAAUGUGGAAAUCCUCAUCAACAUACCAAAGAACCUUGCUAAAUGCACAUGUCUACCCCAGUGCGCCGAACUCAAUUAUUACUCUCACACAAAAACGAUCCUUGUUCGUUCUGCCUUUUGGGUUGGACGUCGGCUUAGUUGGUUUCGCUGCGUAUUAUUUGACUAAAUUGAAGAAGCCGGAGCCUCAGAAUGUGCUUAGUAUAUUUGGGCCAGAUCCUUGGGGUAAGGAAAGCCAACAGCAUCCAGAGAAAGUGGUGCGAUGUAUCGCCCACAGAGGCGCUGCAUUGGACGCUCCAGAGAACACUAUGGAAGCUUUGAAGUAUUGCGUAGAACAUGACUGCAACAUAAUAGAGUUGGAUGUGAGAGCGUCCAGGGACGGCAAGCUGAUACUCCUGCACGAUGAGGGCUUGGAACGGCUGACUGGCACCGAUAUAUCCAGUGUGCGGACCAUCGACUGGGAUCGGAUCAAGGAUAUUGAUGUUGGCUCUACGCAUCCUAAUAGGAAGCAAUUCAAAGAUGUCCGCCUCUGUCUCCUGGACGACGCUCUAGAUUAUCUGUUGGCGAACAACGUCAAAAUCAUCAUCGACGUCAAAGGCGAAGACAAACAGGUGAUCGCGGGUAUACUGAGUGCGUACGCGUCGCGGCCGACGUUGUACCAGCACGCCGCUGUGACGUGCUUCAACCCAUUUGUACUUUAUCAGAUUCGCAGGAACAACCCGGACAUUGUGGGCGCGCUCAGCUACCGACCUUACUGCUUCAGCUCACAGGACUACGAUGCUGAGAAGGGGCCCAAUAACCCUAGGUUCGGCGACAACCUGGCGCUGCACGGGCUGCUGCGCGCUGCGGACGUAGUGCACGCGCUGCUGUGGCGCUGGGCGGCGCGCUGGUGCAGCGUCAGCGCCGUGCUGCUGCACAAGGACAUCGUCAGCGCGAGUGAGAUCCACUACUGGCGAUGGCUAGGCAUCCGCUGCGCGGGCUGGUGUGUCAACAGGCCCCUGGAGAAACUGUACUGGCGGGGAGUGCUCAAGGCGCCCUACCUGGCCAACACUCUACUGGGAGAGCCCGAUAAGGAGGAGGCGGCGGCGUCCGAGUCCACCUUGCUUCGCACCACGGCCUGAACCAGAGCCGGACGCGAGAGGUCGCCGAGACGGCGAUCCUCAGCCCAUGCAGGGCACACCCCCACCGUAUGCUCCACCGUGUCCUCCGGGUGGUCCUCGCAGUGAUGACACCUGGCCGUUUCCUCCCGCCCUAUCAGAAACUCUCAUAUCCGGUGGAAGGCAAACGUACCGAUAAGGAAUAUAGCAACGACCGCCCGGGUCCGCUCGUCGACAAAAUUCUCGAGCCGGAGAGAAAGAUGUCGUCAGGACAGAACUAAAUUAUUUAUUUAUACACCGUAAUUAUUAUCAUUACUCUAAUUAUUCUGCGGUUUUUACCAUAAUUUGGUCGUAUUUUAAAACUUUUAUUUAGCUUUAAAAUACAAUUAAAAAAUAACACGCUACUAUUCCGUUUUCUGACGUGGUAGUAUCGAUAUUGAUAACGAUAAUUUUUUGUCGCUAAGUCGUGGUGAAAUUCGCGAGUUAGCGACUGUUUUUGACGUAAUAAUUUUGUAAUUCUGUUUGGAUA